CCGGGCGCACGGGUGAGUAACACGUAUGCAAUCCACCUGUAACAGGGGGAGUAACCCGGAGAAAUCCGGACUAAUACCCCAUAAUAUGGGCGUUCCGCAUGGAGAGCCCAUUAAAGAGAGCAAUUUUGGUUACAGACGAGCAUGCGCUCCAUUAGCCAGUUGGCGGGGUAACGGCCCACCAAAGCGACGAUGGAUAGGGGUUCUGAGAGGAAGGUCCCCCACAUUGGAACUGAGACACGGUCCAA
rnacentral:rRNA from 1 species